CCUACGGGAGGCAGCAGUGGGGAAUAUUGCACAAUGGGCGAAAGCCUGAUGCAGCGACGCCGCGUGAGGGACGACGGCCUUCGGGUUGUAAACCUCUUUCAGCAGGGACGAAGCGCAAGUGACGGUACCUGCAGAAGAAGCACCGGCUAACUACGUGCCAGCAGCCGCGGUAAUACGUAGGGUGCAAGCGUUGUCCGGAAUUACUGGGCGUAAAGAGUUCGUAGGCGGUUUGUCACGUCGUUUGUGAAAAACUCACAGCUCAACUGUGAGCCUGCAGGCGAUACGGGCAGACUUGAGUACUGCAGGGGAGACUGGAAUUCCUGGUGUAGCGGUGAAACGCGCAGAUAUCAGGAGGAACACCGGUGGCGAAGGCGGGUCUCUGGGCAGUAACUGACGCUGAGGAACGAAAGCGUGGGUAGCGAACAGGAUUAGAUACCCUGGUAGUCCACGCCGUAAACGGUGGGCGCUAGGUGUGGGUUCCUUCCACGGAAUCCGUGCCGUAGCUAACGCAUUAAGCGCCCGCCUGGGGAGUACGGCCGCGAAGGCUAAAACGUUAAAGAGUAAGUGACGNGNGAGAGCGACGACGCGACGACGGAGGGAGGAG
rnacentral:rRNA from 1 species